GAGAAACGGCUACCCCAUAUAAGGAAGGCAGCAGGCGCGUAACUUACCCACUCCCAGUUCAGGGAGGUAGUGACAAUAAAUACCUUACAGAGGUCUCGUUAACCGAGAUCUCUCAAACGGAAUGAGUACAACGUGAAUCCUUUAACGAGGAUCGACUGGAGGGCAAGCCUGGUGCCAGCAGCCGCGGUAAUUCCAGCUCCAGUAGCAUAUAUUAAAAGCUGUUGCGGUUAAAAAGCUCGUAGUUGGAUAUCAGUGCGUGUCCGGUCCGGUAUGCCUGGCGGUGUCGCUCGCGCGUCACUGCUGGGCUCCCAAAUAUCGGCUGGCCGCAUUCAAUCGUGCCGGAUCCGUCGGCGGGCCGUUCUUCGGAGGGGCCUGUUGGCGGCCGGCGACGUUACCUUGAACAAAUUAGAGUGCUCAAAGCAGGCUCUGUAUGCCUGUAUACAUAUUCAUGGAAUUGGAGAAUACGUCCCUGGCUCGAUUUGGUUGGUUUUGAGAGUCGAAGGGAAAUGAUUAAUAGGGACUGACGGAGGCAUUCGUAUUGCGACGCGAGGGGUGAAAUCCUGUGACCGUCGCACGACGAACUACUGCGAAAGCAUUUGCCGAGAAUGUUUUCAUUAGUCAAGAACGAAAGUUAGAGGUUCGAAGGCGAUCAGAUACCGCCCUAGUUCUAACCGUAAACGAUGUCGACCAGCAAUCCGCAACGGUCACUACACGGACUGUGCGGGCAGCUUCCCCGGGGAAACCAGAGUUUUUGGACUCCGGGGGAAGUAUGGUUGCAAAGCUGAAACUUAAAGGAAUUGACGGAAGGGCACCACCAGGAGUGGAGCUUGCGGCUUAAUUUGACUCAACACGGGACAACUCACCAGGCCCGGACACCGUAAGGAUUGACAGACUGAUAGCUCUCUCUUGAUUCAGUGGGUGGUGGUGCAUGGCCGUUCUUAGUUGGUGGAGUGAUUUGUCUGGUUUAUUCCGAUAACGAACGAGACUCUGGCCUAUUAAACUUGACACUGUCAGUCUCUUGUGACUGCGGUGCGCUUCUUAGAGGGAUCAUCGGCGUCCCAGCCGAAGGAAAGGGAGCAAUAACAGGUCUGUGAUGCCCUUAGAUGUUCUGGGCUGCACGCGUGUUACACUGAAGUGGUCAGCGCGCCGUUCAACACCCCUCUCCGUGAGGAGCUUGGGCAAACGUUUGAACCCUUUUCGUGAUGGGAAUUGGGGGUUGCAAUUGUCCCCCAUGAACGAGGAAUUCCAAGUAAGCGCAGGUCACUAGCCUGCGUUGAUUAAGUCCCUGCCCUUUGUACACACCGCCCGUCGCUACUACCGAUGGAUGAUUUGGUGAGGUCGCCUAGACUGGCUGCUGGCUUCGGCCGUGCGGCCGGGAAGACGCCCAAACUUGGUCGUCUAGAGGAAGUAAAAGUCGUAACAAGGUUUCC
rnacentral:rRNA from 1 species